AUGGGAAGGGCACCACUUAAAACAUGCUUAAAUUAUAGCUCUAGAUGGAAGUCUAAACAAAAACGCAUCUUGAUGGAGUCUUUCUCUUCACAUGUGUGUUGCUGAAACAGGCAAGCCUCUCAGAUGUCUCCUACCCUGCAACACCUGUGUUUAUGGCCAGAGAACUGGAAUGAGGAAUCCUUCACCCAGUAGCAGUGGCCCUGACACCAGCCAGACUCUGCAGGUUGUGUAUGCUGAGCUGGGCAGGCAAUAAGGGAAUAAUGAACAGCACUGAGCUGCAAAGAGGAGCCUUCCAAAGCUGGGCUGUGCUACCAUGUGGGUGUGACACCUCAAGAGCAGCAAAACUUUGGUGUCUUGCUUGACCAGCUGUAUUCCAAAUGCAGGCCUGGAUACAGACUCUGCAAGAGAGGUUUGGAAAAGCUGCAAGGAGAAGGUUCU
rnacentral:lncRNA from 12 species